CACGGCGCUCAGAUCUAUGAAAUCCACGCUCAGGAGCAGAGACUCCCAUUUUGUUGCUCGGUUUCUGAAGCCUUAGGAGGAAGAAGACAAGGAAGAAAGCUCUCAAACACAGCAAUGUCAGCCAUUGACGGAGAUUUCGAUCUUCGGUCUUCAUUCACAAUCGAUGAGUACACCUUCGCCGAUGCGGGAAAUUUGGAGCACUGCGCCAAGUAUUUGAACCAGUCUCUUGUUACGUUCGGAUUUCCAGCUUCUCUGGAUCUUUUCGCGAAUGACCCUGUUUCCAUUGCACGGACUUGCAAUUGCAUACACUUCUUGCUACAGCAGAGACAGCGGGAUAUUGAAUUUAGAGAGUCUGCUAAUGAACAAAGACAGCGACUAUUAUCUGACAUAUCAAGAUUGGAAGCCAAAGUUGAGAGGCUUGAAGGACAACUACAAUCUAAAGACCGGGAGAUUGCAACAAUUACUAGAACAGAAGCUAAAAACACUGCAGCUCUCAAGGCUCAAAUUGAGAAGCUUCAACAGGAGCGAGAUGAAUUUCAAAGAAUGGUUAUUGGUAAUCAGCAAGUAAGGACUCAACAAAUGCAUGAGAUGAAGAAGAAGGAAAAGGAAUACAUAAAGUUGCAGGAGAGGUUAAAUCAAGUAUUGAUGGAGAAGAAGAAGGAAUCAAGGUCAGGCAUGGAAAUAAUGAAUUUGCUACAGAAAGAAGGGCGGCAACGCGGAACAUGGAAUGGGAAGAAGACAGACAAUGACUUUUAUAAAAAAAUCGUAGAUGCUUAUGAGGUGAAAAAUCAAGAACUUAUAGCAGAGAAUGCUGAUUUAAGAGCAUUAUUGAGAUCAAUGCAGAUGGAUAUGCGUGAUUUCAUUAAUGCUCCUAAUGGGCAAUCAAAACAAUCUGUCAGUGAUAAUGAAAGAGCUGAAAGUGAUCCUUCACAAUCUCCAUUGGUUGGGAGGACGGAUGUAUUUGAUCUCCCUUUUCACAUGGCUAGAGAUCAAAUAGAAGAAAGCCUUCGAGCCAAGAUGGCUUCUAUUAAGGAGCGGAUGGUGCAAUUGCAAGAUGCUCAGAAAGGAGCUGAAGUUACUUCAGAAGCAACUGAGAGAGAACUUGAGCUUGAAGCUCAACUUGUUGAAGCGAGGAGCAUCAUACAGGAGCAGGCAUCCAUAAUGUCCAAACAUCUUGCGAAGUCUGAGAGGCCAAGGUACUUUGAGUGUGCUUUAGAGUUGGCGAGUAUUUUCUGAUUAUGUGUGGAUGCAGUAGUAAGUCACCCGUUGCCGUACUUUUACAGGGAAUCUGUCAUUCCACCACCAGCUGAGGCAGUUUAACUAAGGAAGUGGGGGCAUCCUAAUAUAAUUCUUCUUCGUCACUAACGAAGCUCAGAUAUAUGUGAAUAGGCUCACAUAUGUUGUAAUAUCAAUGCAAUUAGUAUGAUCCAUCAUAACUAGGAUCACUAUGCCCUGGAACUUCUGGAAAAAGAGGGCAUAUAUAACUAUAUAUGUACUAUAUACAUAUACAUAUACAUACAUACAUACAUACAUACUAUAUAUAUAUAUCUCGGCAUCAAGUCUAUGGCAUUAAAACAUGGACUUGCGCGGUAGAUUUAAAUGAA